CUGCAGCCGUGAUGGUAGCGGCAUCCUUUUAUGGAAUGCAAUGGAAUAAAAGAUAAAGCGGACAGCACGAAUUGUC
rnacentral:sRNA from 1 species